rnacentral:tRNA from 1 species
AUUAUUUUGGCAGAUUUGAUGUAAUGAAUUUAGAAUUCAUUUAAAUAUAAUGAAAUAUUAUAUAGAUAAUA